rnacentral:rRNA from 1 species
CCUACGGGAGGCAGCAGUGAGGAAUAUUGGUCAAUGGCCGGAAGCCUGAACCAGCCAAGCCGCGUGAGGGAUGACGGUGCUAUGGAUUGUAAACUUCUUUUGUCGGGGGACAAAGGCGUCCACGUGAGCACUGACGAGGGUACCUGAAGAAAAAGCAUCGGCUAACUCCGUGCCAGCAGCCGCGGUAAUACGGAGGAUGCGAGCGUUAUCCGGAUUUAUUGGGUUUAAAGGGUGCGUAGGCGGACAGUCAAGUCAGCGGUAAAAAUGCGGUGCUCAACGCCGUACAGCCGUUGAAACUGGCAGUCUUGAGUGGGCGAGAAGUAUGCGGAAUGCGUGGUGUAGCGGUGAAAUGCAUAGAUAUCGCGCAGAACUCCGAGUGCGAAGGCAGCAUACCGGCGCCCUACUGACGCUGAGGCACGAAAGCGUGGGUAUCGAACAGGAUUAGAUACCCUUGUAGUC